rnacentral:lncRNA from 1 species
GAGGAGACCUAUGUUACCAAAGCACUUUAGGUUGGUUCUUGACUAGCUCUAAACUGAGUCCUCAGUGGCUGACAUGAGGAACCACCGUGAGAACAGCUGGUACUCAUGGACCAGUGGCAGCUGGAUGACCCGCAGUCGCCAUCCACUGAAUCCUUCCAGGAACACCUGCACGUGGAAGCAGAAGAAGAAAAAGAAGAAAUGCUGAGAUGCUGAAGAUAAGAUGGAAAUAAGUCUGACCUGAGCGAAUUACUUUACUGUCCUUUGGAGUUUCUUGAAAAUAAAAUGUAUUCAUUUGAAGUGUAAUGGGCUUUUCCUUAACCAAAACUUCUGGCCAUUGAUUUGUGUAAAGAAAAGCCGUGCACAGGCUCAACUGAGGAAUAAAAGUUGUUUCAGAGUCGUAAGUCUUCUGAGUAAAAUCAUGUUGUUGUGACUUUUUACCUAUCCAUGUAACAUUCCA